AUCGAACGCUGGCGGCAGGCCUAACACAUGCAAGUCGAACGAGAGGCGGACGGGUGAGUAAUGUCUGGGAAACUGCCUGACGGAGGGGGAUAACUACUGGAAACGGUAGAUAAUACUGCAUACCAUCAGAUGUGCCCAGGUGGGUUUAGCUAGUUGGGGGGGUAACGGCUCACCAAGGCGACGGUCCCUAGCUGGGCUGAGAGGCUGACCGGCCAAACUGGAACUGAGACACGGUCCAGACUCCUACGGGAGGCAGCAGUGGGGAAUAUUGCCCAAUGGGCGCAAGCCUGAUGCAGCCAUGCCGCGUGUAUGAAGAAGGCCUUCGGGUUGUAAAGUCCUUUCGGCGGAGAGGCGUUACCCGCACAAGAAGCACCGGCUAACUCCGUGCCAGCAGCCGCGGUAAUAC
rnacentral:rRNA from 1 species